rnacentral:misc_RNA from 1 species
UCCCAGGGUUUGAGUUAGGCGAGCGAGGGCACCUCGUUUCGAGACCCUGGGCCCCUUACGAGGAUGAGGUGCAGCUGCUUGUCUGGCGCUGUGACCUAGGGCUGACAAUGGGAGCUGAGUCGCAGACAGUGCUCCAACGUCUCCACCAAGUGCUAGAGAGCGCUGGCUCCCACCUGCCCCUUGCCCUACUGCAACGCGCGUGGUUCUCGCUCGGCCUCAUCGCUGCGAUGGCCGAAGUUGAUCGAACGGCGUCUAGCUCGGGCUCCCCCCUUCUGCAGCAGAGCCUCACCGACCUGUCAUUGCGGGUCGAACUGAUCGGCCAAGAAAUGCUCGCUAACCAAGCGGCCCACAGCCGCGAGCUCGAAAAAGUGUCCGAUGAAGUGACGGCAAUGGUCGAUCUCAGCCUGGAACUGCCGUCGCUUAUCACCGCCAAGGAGUGGGAAAGGACUCGCCGGCAUAUCCUGAGGGCUGCUCGCGAGGCUGGUGAGAUGCCAGCGUUAGAGCGACGGGCACGGAAACGGGUGGGAUCCGCCGCGUGGGACAAGCUGCAUAGAGACAGUCGGCAGGACCUGAUGGCGUGGGCGAAGGACUACGCCGACGGGAAGC